rnacentral:tRNA from 1 species
UCCUCGAUAGCUCAAUGGUAGAGCGCCCGGCUGUUAACCGGGGGGUUGCAGGUUCGAGUCCUGCUCGAGGAGCCA